rnacentral:rRNA from 1 species
CACAAGCGGUGGAGCAUGUGGUUAAUUCGAAGCAACGCGAAGAACCUUACCAGGCCUUGACAUGCAGAGAACUUUCCAGAGAUGGAUUGGUGCCUUCGGGAACUCUGACACAGGUGCUGCAUGGCUGUCGUCAGCUCGUGUCGUGAGAUGUUGGGUUAAGUCCCGUAACGAGCGCAACCCUUGUCCUUAGUUACCAGCACGUUAUGGUGGGCACUCUAAGGAGACUGCCGGUGACAAACCGGAGGAAGGCGGGGAUGACGUCAAGUCAUCAUGGCCCUUACGGCCUGGGCUACACACGUGCUACAAUGGUCGGUACAAAGGGUUGCCAAGCCGCGAGGUGGAGCUAAUCCCAUAAAACCGAUCGUAGUCCGGAUCGCAGUCUGCAACUCGACUGCGUGAAGUCGGAAUCGCUAGUAAUCGUGAAUCAGAAUGUCACGGUGAAUACGUUCCCGGGCCUU